AUGACUGUUGGUAACUCUUUGACAAAUGAAAGCUCGGACAGAAAGCUAUCCUUAAAGAGAAUUCUGCUGCUUAAACAGAGAGAAUUCAGAGUUCCAAGACAGUUCAAGCAUCUAUCGCUGUUCAUGACCCCAUGGACUGCAGCAUGCCUGGUCUCCUUUCCCCCUCUAUCUCCUGGAGUUUGUCCAAGUUCAUGCCCACCGAACUGGUGAUGUCAUCCAACCGUCUCAUCCUCUGUAGACCUCUUCCCCUUCUGCCUUCAAUCUUUCCCAGCAUCAGGGUCUCUUCCAGUGAGUCAGCUCUACACAUCAGGUGGCCAAACUAUUGAAGCUUCAGCUUGAGCAUCAGUCCUUCCAAUGAGUAUUCACAGUUGAUUU
rnacentral:lncRNA from 1 species